rnacentral:rRNA from 1 species
ACGGAGGGUGCAAGCGUUAAUCGGAAUUACUGGGCGUAAAGCGCGCGUAGGCGGUAUUGUAAGUGGGAUGUGAAAGCCCCGGGCUCAACCUGGGAACUGCAUUCCAAACUGCAAAACUAGAGUAUGGUAGAGGGAAGUGGAAUUUCAGGUGUAGCGGUGAAAUGCGUAGAGAUCUGAAGGAACACCAGUGGCGAAGGCGACUUCCUGGACCAAUACUGACGCUGAGGUGCGAAAGCGUGGGGAGCAAACAGG